AUUGAACGCUGGCGGCAGGCCUAAUACAUGCAAGUCGAACGAGGGGCGGACGGGUGAGUAAUGUCGGGGAAACGGCUAGAAGGAGGGGGAUAAUUACUGAAACCGGUAGCUAAUACCGCAUACCAGCGACUGUGCCCAGAUGGGAUUAGGGAGUAGGUAGGGGAAAGGCUCACCUAGGCGACGAUCCCUAGCUGGUCUGAGAGGUUGACCGGCCACACGGGAACUGAGACACGGUCCAGACUCCUACGGGAGGCAGCAGUGGGGAAUAUUGCACAAUGGGCGCAAGCCUGAUGCAGCAAUGCCGCGUGUGUGAAGAAGGCCUUCGGGUUGUAAAGUACUGUCAGCGGGGAGGCGGUACCCGCACAGAAAGCACCGGCUAACUCCGUGCCAGCCGCCGCGGUAAUUC
rnacentral:rRNA from 1 species